rnacentral:rRNA from 1 species
UGGGGAAUAUUGGACAAUGGGCGCAAGCCUGAUCCAGCCAUGCCGCGUGAGUGACGAAGGCCCUAGGGUUGUAAAGCUCUUUUGUGCGGGAAGAUAAUGACGGUACCGCAAGAAUAAGCCCCGGCUAACUUCGUGCCAGCAGCCGCGGUAAUACGAAGGGGGGCUAGCGUUGCUCGGAAUCACUGGGCGUAAAGGGUGCGUAGGCGGGUCUUUAAGUCAGGGGUGAAAUCCUGGAGCUCAACUCCAGAACUGCCUUUGAUACUGAGGAUCUUGAGUUCGGGAGAGGUGAGUGGAACUGCGAGUGUAGAGGUGAAAUUCGUAGAUAUUCGCAAGAACACCAGUGCCGAAGGCGGCUCACUGGCCCGAUACUGACGCUGAGGCACGAGAGCGUGGGGAGCAAACA